rnacentral:rRNA from 1 species
GUUAAGUCUGAUGUGAAAUUCCCGGGGCUCAAACCUGGGAAAUGGGCAUGGGAUACUGGGCUCGCUAGAGUGCGGUAGAGGGUGGUGGGAAUUCCCGGUGUAGCAGUGAAAUGCGUAGAGAUCGGGAGGAACAUCUGUGGCGAAGGCGGCCACCUGGACCAACACUGACACUGAGGCACGAAAGCGUGGGGAGCAAACAGGAUUUAGAUACCCUGGUAGUCCACGCCCUAAACGAUGCGAACUGGAUGUUGGGUGCAACUUGGCACUCAGUAUCGAAGCUAACGCGUUAAGUUCGCCGCCUGGGGAGUACGGUCGCAAGACUGAAACUCAAAGGAAUUGACGGGGGCCCGCACAAGCGGUGGAGUAUGUGGUUUAAUUCGAUGCAACGCGAAGAACCUUACCUGGCCUUGACAUCCACGGAACCCUUGAGAGAUCGAGGGGUGCCUUCGGGAACCGUGAGACAGGUGCUGCAUGGCUGUCGUCAGCUCGUGUCGUGAGAUGUUGGGUUAAGUCCCGCAACGAGCGCAACCCUUGUCCCUAGUUGCCAGCACGUAAUGGUGGGAACUCUAGGGAGACCGCCGGUGACAUACCGGAGGAAGGUGGGGAUGACGUCAAGUCCUCAUGGCCCUUACGGCCAGGGCUACACACGUACUACAAUGGUGGGUACAAAGGGUUGCCAAGCCGCGAGGCGGAGCCAAUCCCAGAAAACCCAUCUCAGUCCGGAUCGGAGUCUGCAACUCGACUCCGUGAAGUCGGAAUCGCUAGUAAUCGCGGAUCAGCAAUGCCGCGGUGAAUACGUUCCCGGGCCUUGUACACACCGCCCGUCACACCAUGGGAGUUUGUUGCACCAGAAGCAGGUAGCUUAACCGCAAGGGGGGCGCUUGCCACGGUGGUGCCC